rnacentral:lncRNA from 1 species
AAAAUCCUGAAUGUUCUUGUGGCCUUUGUACUUACUGAAUCCUCCUGGCAUGCUGUUCCAUGGCUGGUUAUGUGGCCUCCCUCUAAAGGACGGCCAGUCUCGAACAGUGAGGCAGUUCCAGUUCACUGACUGGCCAGAACAAGGAGUGCCAAAGUCUGGAGAAGGAUUUAUUGACUUCAUCGGCCAAGUCCAUAAAACAAAGGAACAGUUUGGCCAAGAUGGUCCCAUUUCGGUGCAUUGCAGUGCCGGUGUUGGAAGAACUGGAGUCUUUAUAACAUUGAGUAUUGUGUUGGAAAGAAUGAGAUAUGAAGGGGUUGUAGAUAUCUUCCAGACAGUCAAAAUGUUAAGAACACAACGACCAGCCAUGGU